GGAGAGAUGGCAGAGCGGUCGAAUGCGGCGGUCUUGAAAACCGUUGAGGGUCAUACCUCCGGGGGUUCGAAUCCCUCUCUCUCCG
rnacentral:tRNA from 1 species